UUCCCAGAAAUAUGGAAACACCGCCAGUUAAAAGCUCCUUCUUGUCCAUGUUUGUUCGCCUACAUGAAGGUACAUAAGAACCCUGUAGCUAUUAGACCAAUUGUGGAAAAGUUAAGUGCGCCCACCUACCACCUUGAGAAGAAAUUGGCGGCCUGGUCUAUGAAAAUACUUCUACAACAAGCUGAAAACUCUACUACCGUCACAACGCAAGCGUUACUUAGGCUGCGAGAAAUAGCAUGGGAGCAAGGCGAUGUCAUCGCAACAUAUGACUACGAGAGCUUAUACCCGUCUCUGGAGGUCGAACCCGUCUGCCUAUUGUUCUACAGAUUCCUCCUUGAUAACAC
rnacentral:lncRNA from 1 species